rnacentral:rRNA from 1 species
GGAAUAUUGGUCAAUGGACGAGAGUCUGAACCAGCCAAGUAGCGUGCAGGAUGACGGCCCUAUGGGUUGUAAACUGCUUUUAUGCGGGGAUAAAGUCGGCUACGCGUAGCCGUUUGCAGGUACCGCAUGAAUAAGGACCGGCUAAUUCCGUGCCAGCAGCCGCGGUAAUACGGAAGGUCCGGGCGUUAUCCGGAUUUAUUGGGUUUAAAGGGAGCGCAGGCCGGAGGUCAAGCGUGACGUGAAAUGUAGCCGCUCAACGGCUGAACUGCGUCGCGAACUGUCAGUCUUGAGUGAGUUCGAUGUUGGCGGAAUUCGUGGUGUAGCGGUGAAAUGCUUAGAUAUCACGAAGAACUCCGAUUGCGAAGGCAGCUGACGAGUCCUUAACUGACGCUAAAGCUCGAAAGUGCGGGUAUCGAACA